ACUCCAGUGACUGCCUCUCAGAAAAGAACAGGGCAAUGUCCAUUCUCCUUUUAUUUUCUUUAAGCACCUGAUCAUUCUAAAAGCAUGUGUUCCUCCGUGUGUGUGAGUUGUGUACACGUGUGUGUGUGUUCCUUUCUUUUCUCGGACUCCAGGCUCAUGACUGCUUAUUUGCAUGGUGUUUUGGUGUCAAAGGAGUGUUGAAUGUGUUCUCCACACACCCAGCUUUAUUCCACUCUAGGAGUUUAACUUCUUCAGCAUUGUUAUGAGGUCCCCGGUGACCUCAGUUUCUCCUCUCCGCGUCAUCCAGGACUUCACCUGAAGCUUGAGCUACACGUAAGACUUCAUCUACCUUGCACAGGGCAAUGGAGAGAGGAUGGCAUACCAGAAUCACCAGAUGACAGACAUCGGGGUGCUGUCGGACCCGGGAAUCAGAACCUCUGCAGAUAGAUAUUUUGGAAGGCGCUCCCUAGAUUGGCACCUCUGGUUAGAACCCUGCCCAGGGACUGGACAAGUUGGGCCCAUGGCUCAUAUCUGGCCAGUGUUCAUUGCUUUGUUGAAUCACACUUAAUCCUUUGGUUUUGGUAGAUUCCUGCAAGUAGACUGACAGCUGCAUGUUUGCAGGAAAGUUAAAUAUUUUGACAGCGCAGAAGACUGCUGCAUCUGGAGGGUUCUGGGUCCAGCUAUAACCAGACUUGCCUGUCCUAAACAAAUGGAUUGACUGCUUCCGGCAUCCUCACUUUACUUCUGCAUGGUGACCAACAUCCGGAGCUUAAUUACCUGACAGCCAGGAGAAGAGAUCCCACACUAAAGGUAUUACACGAGGAUGAGGCCAUGAAUGCCAGAAGGCAAGGACCGUUGGAGGUCAUCUUACAACCUACCCACCAAAGCUUUGUCUUCAGUUUGGAGAAGUUUUGAGUUACUAUUCGCAGCAUACCAAGAACAGUAUCUGCAAUCAGUAACUGCCAUGCAAGUAUUUGUUAAUAAAGGAAAUGUGAAGCCCCUGAAUGAUUUCAUCAGAGAGGAGUGGCACCAUCAGGUUUACAUUCUGAAAAGAUGGCUUUGGCUGCAGUAUGAAGAAUGGGUUGAGGAGCUCAUGAGACAACCAGGUGGGAGGCUCUCGCAGAAGAUGAGGCAGAGAUGAUGGUGGCUCAUGGGCAGGACUGAGAAAUGGCCACAAGGACCCAUGGGUGCUGAUAUUGCAUGCAGAGAUCUUGAGAGCUGUUUUGUGCAUUCUGUGGCUGGGUCUUUGAUCAGUGGAGAAAAUUUUGUGAUGGCAUCUGAAUCCACCUGGAACAUCAGUGCCUGUAUUGGUCACAGUUUUUCUGGUGGCAAAUAACAAAAUCCUUCUCUAGGUAUCUUGAGUGCAUCCCCUGUACCUCAGUUAUAGUGGCUUUAGCUUCAUUAAUUCAUUCACCUAUCCAUCUAUCUAUUCAGCUACUAAUCACAUUGUUCACUCCCCUCUGUGCCAGUUACUGCACCGGACACUGGGGAUACAACCAUGAAAAAUCCAGGCACAGAGCCCACCUUUACGGGGGGUAAGAAUCAAGUGGAGAUAAGGAAAUGGGUGACUUCCAACACAAUGACAAGCCCAGGCAGGGUGGGAUGGCAGCCCACUGUACAACUGUCUACUCAAGUUUGGGAGGCUGGUCAAGGAAGGCUUCCAAGAGGAGGUAAUAAUAUAAUAAUAUCUAGGCUGAGACCUGAGGAGAAGAAAGGGUUCACUAGGAAGGGAGAAGGAGGCCUGAGGAGAUUGGCCUGUGCAGUGUGGGGGCUGUGAGAGAAGGAUGAUCUUUUCCAGCUUUCAAGUGGAAAUCAGAAUACGGAUUCCUACAGGAGGUUCCCCGCCCCCUAACAGUUUGUGACGGUAAGGACAGGCCCCUGAGAUGACUCGUCACAUUUCCAAAAGUGGGAUGGAACCUGCAUAAGGCAAGCAGGACAAAGAAACUGCCUAUGUCUCAGGGUUCUGGUGGAAUUUCAUAUGCCCUGGGCCAAAGCUCCUUAUCUUGUGCUAAUCAGAAGUUCCAACUGGCAGUUCCAUGUCUUUGAUUAAUAAAAAUAGGGGUGGUAAUUAAUUACUUAAUAAAUGCAAUUUCCUUUCCUCAAUUUCUGUCCUCAAAUUCAACUAUUUUAUUUUAUCUUACUGUAAGGUUUGUAUACCUGUAAGUGGUCCUAAAAGCCUCAAUGGACACA
rnacentral:lncRNA from 1 species